GCUCAUCUGUGUGCAUGAUAACUAUUCAUGCUUAGUGCUGCUUGUUUGUCUAUGUCCUAUAGACCGACAGCAGUGCACACACACUCAUUGUAGCCAAACAGUAACCAGAGAUCAUAGUACUGGUCUAGUGAAGUCAUAAUGACAUUUAUGCACAGACCAGCCUCCAAACUCUCUGACAUUG
ensembl:snoRNA small nucleolar RNA, H/ACA box 23